AGUAAAUAGAUACCCAGGUAGUCCACGCCGUAAACUAUGAUCACUCGAUGUUGGCGAUAUACAGCCAGCGUCUAAAGCUAAAGCAUUAAGUGAUCCACCUGGGGAGUACGGUCGCAAGAUUGAAACUCAAAGGAAUUGACGGGGGCCCGCACAAGCGGAGGAGCAUGUGGUUUAAUUCGAUGAUACGCGAGGAACCUUACCAGGGCUUGAAAGUUAGUGACCGCCGCCGAAAGGUGGCUUUCAGCAAUGACACGAAACUAGGUGCUGCAUGGCUAUCGUCAGCUCGUGCCGUGAGGUGUUGGGUUAAGUCCCGCAACGAGCGCAACCCCUAUCUUUAGUUGCCAGCGAGUAAUGUCGGGGACUCUAAAGAAACUGCCCGCGUAAGCGUGGAGGAAGGAGGGGAUGACGUCAAGUCAGCACGGCCCUUACGUCCUGGGCUACACACGUGCUACAAUGGGCGAGACAAUGGGUUGCUACACAGCAAUGUGAUGCUAAUCUCAAAA
rnacentral:rRNA from 1 species